GCAUGUUUGAUUUUCUUCAGUGCUAACUGAUUGAUCUAUUGAUUGAUUGAAGUUUAUUUUCAACAUAAAAAAGUAAAAAAAAGAAAAAGAAAAGAACAACAGAUGAUUAAUAGUGAUCCAUGUUCAAAAACGAGUGGGAAGAAAUCGUAACUUGCCCAUUCUCCCACACUAAUGAUUUGCAUAUCUAUCAUGUCUACCCUGCCUCCCCAAAAUUGCUACCACUAAUAAUAAUAAUAAUAAUAAUAAUAAUAAUAAUAAUAAUAUCAACAACCAUGAUUGUACAAUUGUACACCUACUGUAUGUACAUCUGCAUCAAUAAAAAAGGACAAUGAAAAAAUGACUGAACAAUAACAAAACAAUAACAAACAUAAUGAUCAGAAAAGGACCAGCUAAUAAUGUACAUAAAUAAAUAAAUUUGGUGUGUGAAGUUGUUGUGUUUUUGUUGAAAAAGACGCUAUCGGGUAGAAAUCCGCUGUAUAAACUUGUGUGUGUUUUAAAAGACGCUAUCGGGUAGUAACCAUGGUAACCAAGCUAUAUUUGUCCAAACGGAGCUGCCGUACUUUUCUGUCCAAGAUGGCCGACCGUAUUGCACAUGCGCGAAGCAAAUCGGAUAGGUCCGCAGAUCGGGUUGCCACAGGCGGUUCAGUUUUUUCCGGUUUCCACACUGUGAAAAGUGAGUGAUCUGUGCCAACAGAAGGAGGACCUCAUGUACAGAGCAGCCCGUUUGUUUCCAUUCAUCUGGUUGUGGAGAAGGGAGACUGCAUGGACAUCCUUAGUUCUCAGAUGUGCUCUGAUAAUGAUGGUAGAAAACCACUUCCAGUUCAGCUUCCUCUAAUGAAAUGACAGACUAACUGCUGAUGAGUUUGUUUAUUAUUCUCUGUCUUAACUAUUAACAGGUUCAGUUUCUUACCUGAAACUUCUUUUCUGCUGUUGUUGACAGGUGAUGGUAGCAACACUUUUAAGAACAGAAUUUAUAAAUAUUAAACUGUGAUUAAGUGAUUGAUCAACUCUAGCACUGUCACCACCUCCACAGGAUACGGUGAGCCAACUGACACGGAGCGGGUCUGAGGCAGUAGACUGACCCAGAGUGAAGGGCAGGAAGAGACAAGAAACCACGUUUAACAGCAAAGAAAAGAAGCAACACGAGUAAAUCUCGAUGUGGAUUUCCACCGCUGGAGACGGCUCCUGAGAGGAAAGAGAUGCAGUUUGGUGCCGAGCUCGCAACUUUCCUGUUAGCCAGGACCUGAGCCAGUACAGAUGCAAUACUUCACGCCUCCACCUGUCUCACCAACGGCAGAGAGUCUAGACACAGUGAGGAGGAUCUAGGACCAGAAGUCCAGUCUAAUCACCAAUGAUGGACCAGCACCUGCCUUUUCUUCUGCAUCUGGCCUCAUCAAUCAACCACAUUACAUCAACACCUUGAGGGAUGGCAGAAUCCACCUUGGGUCAGAACCACACCUUCCGGAAACGAUAUCGGCCCCAAUGGAACGAACUACAAGUGUGGACACUACAGUGGAUACUACACUUUACACGUGUUUUUAGGAGUGGGAGGCUCUGGAUUGAUUGCUUGCCUGGAUACCUAACUAUGUCCCCAAUGAGACCGUCUUGAAUCUGGACAAUAUGGUGAGGGACUGACUGAUACUAACAGGCAGAAAGUGUAAAACCAAGAAGGUGACUGCAUGAAUCAAAUUCAUGUCAAUGAAACUGAACAGGGUAGUGAGUUUAUAAAAAGACUUGCUGAACCAGAAGGUGAAAGUUGAUCACCGUCUAGUGAAGACACCCAUGUGGACGUCUUCGUCAGUUUUGCGUCUUAUCUUAAUGUAGGGAUGUGUCACCAAUAGGAACCUGGGAGUCUUUUUAGUUUCUCUGGACUAACAAGAAGAAAUCAACAACACAUGGAGUAUCGGACGUCCUUUUUUAUAAAGCCAAUUGUUUCUUAUCACUUGGAAACAGGAAAAAGGAAAUUCUGCACAAGUGAUUCAGCUCAGCAUCCCAGGUACGACCCAUUGAGGCAGAGGAAUUGUCUGUUCCCGUUCAGUGUGUGACCGAUCCUUAUGGUUUGGAUGGACUUGUCGUGUAUGAUGAUGUAUCUUAUCCCUUACGUUCUGUUGGGAACCACAGGCCUAGAGAUUGGACCUCAUCUGCCGAUAACUCGAAUGAUACGAUUAAUGAUGAAUACGAGGUGGAAAACCUAAUGAUCAGUCCCCGGGACUCAACACGGGGUGGGAGCUGUAUCCUGCUACUGGUUCAUUGCCCUUUCUGCCUGAGUGAAACUACACGCACAGGGACUGUAACAUGGUGGAGUCAGACUGGACAAUGGACGGUGAUCAUUGCUACAAUUGGCCUCCUGAUUUUAUCUAUUAAUUUUUUUUAAUUUUUUAAUUUAAAAAAUAAAUAUAUUUUUGCCACUGAA